AGUUACGCACCAUUGGUCAUGUGACACCAACACAGGUAGGACAGAUCAGCCAUGUCUACCAACUCGGGAGAUGGUGCUUCGGUGGCGCCGCAGUUUUCGACGUAUUCAUGAAGCAAAGAGUCCCUUACUUCUCAGCAUGGACAUAAGAGAAAGCCCUGCUGAGCAGGACAUGGUACUUGUCUCCUUCUAUAAGCGACCUAAUGUGGAGUGGGGACGACCCCUGAAUUGCAGACUUGAAGGAGAUACUGCUAUUGGACAUGGUGUAACUAGGUUCUUUUUCUCCACAUGCAUGGAGAAGCUGAGGUCA